UGGGGGAUAUUGCACAAUGGGCGAAAGCCUGAUGCAGCGACGCCGCGUGGGGGAUGAAGGCCUUCGGGUUGUAAACUUCUUUUGCUCUGAACAAGGCAUGCUAAUGGGUGUGUUGAGUGUAGGGGUUGAUUAGCGCCGGCUAACUACGUGCCAGCAGCCGCGGUAAUACGUAGGGCGCGAGCGUUGUCCGGAAUUAUUGGGCGUAAAGGGCUUGUAGGUGGCUGGUUGCGUCUGUCGUGAAAGCUCAUGGCUUAACUGUGGGUUUGCGGUGGGUACGGGCUGGCUUGAGUGCAGUAGGGGAGGGUGGAAUUCCUGGUGUAGCGGUGCAAUGCGAAGAUAUCAGGAGGAAUGCCGGUGGCGUAGGCGGGUCUCUGGGCUGUUACUGACACUGAGGAGCGAAAGCAUGGGGAGCGAACAGG
rnacentral:rRNA from 1 species